rnacentral:rRNA from 1 species
CGAACGGGUGAGUAACGCGUGAGGAACCUGCCUCAAAGAGGGGGACAACAGUUGGAAACGACUGCUAAUACCGCAUAAGCCCACGGCUCGGCAUCGAGCAGAGGGAAAAGGAGCAAUCCGCUUUGAGAUGGCCUCGCGUCCGAUUAGCUAGUUGGUGAGGUAACGGCCCACCAAGGCGACGAUCGGUAGCCGGACUGAGAGGGUGACCGGCCACAUUGGGACUGAGACACGGCCCAA